UGUUUCUCUGAGCAUUACAGGACAUGGAAAAACACACACUGUUGGCUGUUGAAUUUCUCCUGUUUUAUGGGGGCAGGAAUGCUUUCUGUCUCAAAUUUGGAUCCUUGCAAGAUUCUCAGAAAAUAAUUAAGAUUAAUGAAAUCAUGUAAAAAUACUGAAUUAUAGCUCCACCCAACCAAGAUCCUGUCACUAUCUACUUGGCAUAUUGGUCCUUUAAAGUAUCUGUUAUUAAAUGAGUUUCAGAGGGUACAAGUCCACGAACAUCAUGGCAGGGAGAAUAGCACCAGGAAGGUAAGCAUGUCACUGAAAGAGUGCCUGGGAGCUUUCACCUGAUCCACAAGCAGAAGGCAGAGAAAGAGAAACUGAGCCAAGCACAGACUUCUAAACCUCAGGAUCCUCCUCCUUUGACACAUCUCCUUUAAUAAGGCCACAGAUCCUAAUCCUUACUAAUAGUCCACCACCUGGGACCUUACAUUCAAAUGUAUGAACCUAUGGGAGCUGUUCUCUUUCAAAUGAUCAUGUAGUUUAUUCUGUUUAAAUACUGAUGUAAAACAAGAGCCUGAUAACUCACUUAAACAAACAAAUGAAAGAAUAAAAUUUAUGACAAAUUUUAAG